CUUUUUUCUUCUUUGCCUUUCUCAACUACUCAAAAUUUCCCCCAAUCUCCAAAACUCUCUCGGCUUCUCCCUCUCUUCUCACUCUUACAACAUACUAACACAACAACUCCACACUAAAAAAAUCAUUCCACUCUCUCGGCCAUCUCUCUCCCUCUUUCUCAAAAAUUUUCUUACAACAAAGACAUACCGACUCGCAAAUUUUUCCUCCUCUUCUCAGUGCCCUCCUCCCUAUCCCCCUCUCAAUUUCACACACACACACAAAAGCCAACAAGAAGAUAGGAUAAGAAAAUAAGGAAAGGAGACAAACAAAGGAAACAAAUGGACGGUUAAUGCCUGGAGAUUUCAUCAAAAACUUCAACCAAGAGAUUACUGCAUUCAUUGGGAUAUUUUUCCAGCUUUUUAAUCAUAUGAAAUCCGUGUUUUGUUGUGUUAAUUUUCUCUUGUUUUGCUGGCUCCUUUUGUUGUUGUGUAGUUAAAAUUUGGGGAGGGGUCAUAAA
rnacentral:lncRNA from 1 species